AUUCUUGCUGUCACCCAGGCUGGAGUGCAGUGGUACAGUCAGUCUCGGCUCACUGCAACCUCCAUCUCCAGGGGUUCAAGUGAUUCCCCUGCCUCAGCCUCCUGAGUAGCUGGGACUACAGGUGUGCACCACCACGUCCGGCCAAUUUUUUGUAUUUUGGUAGAGACGGGGUUUCACCACGUCCAGGAUGGUCUCGAUCUUCUGACCUCAUGAUCUGCCUACCUCGACCUCCCUACGUGCUGGGAUUACGGAUGACAUCUCGGCAAUGCAUCUGUGGGCCUUUAUCUCCACAUUCCUCCUGAAUGAAGGCCAGAGGCAAAUGAGAGGAAUCAGAAAUCGGGAGAAAACGUAAAAUGAAAGCUUGAAGCCUAAGCACAAGAAAAGAGAACCGUGUAUGGGAGAACACAGAGACAGUGCUGUGGACAUACAUCAGAAUCGGGACGGUCCCAGUUCUGCCCUUCAGACAUGACGGGAGGAGUCAUGCGUGUAGAUGAGCAAAGUUCCAUUUUAGGACCACGUGAGUAAACAAGUCAUUUAGAUAAACUCCCCUACAUUCCCUUGUACUUACUCCUCUCCCUUUGCCUUAGGGUAAGAACAGCCCCUUCAGCUCAUUCUCCCCCAAGGAUAUGCAAAACUUCCCAGCCUUCCAAGUAGUUGUGCAUCUUUUCUAUCAUUUUUCCUAUCACCCUGACUGGUUUCCUACAAAUAUGGGACCAAGAAUCUAUUGCUUCAGCCACACCCAGCAAGGGUGUGAGAUGUGACCAGUUUUACAUCAUUUUGGCAACAGAAGUAACCAGUCAUUGUGGUAAUAAAGAAAUUCAUUUUUCAGAUUCCAUUUCACCUAAUUUGAACAAACUUAAUAUUUUCUGCCUGUUCAUAGUCAAGGCUGUAUUUUUUGCCUCAAAUAAUGUGGAUGCAAAGCCUUUUGAAAAUGUUUAGUUGUCAUUAAUGUUUUUUUUAAUGUUCAAAUGCUUCAAAAGUUUAAAGCUGAGUUAGAUAGGGUUCUUUCAAGUGCACUUUGGAAGUGGAAAUUAGUAUCGAGUAGCUCAAUUUUAUGAUAAAUAGAAAAAUAUAAAUGUCAUUGAUAAUAGCUCUAAUGUACAAUCUUGUGUUAAUUUUUAAUUUUAUUAUAAAAUUAACUGCAC